rnacentral:rRNA from 1 species
UACGUAGGGGGCUAGCGUUGUCCGGAUUUAUUGGGCGUAAAGAGCUCGUAGGCGGUUUGUCACGUCGGAUGUGAAAACCCGAGGCUUAACCUCGGGCCUGCAUUCGAUACGGGCUGACUAGAGUUCGGUAGGGGAGACUGGAAUUCCUGGUGUAGCGGUGAAAUGACGCAGAGAGUCAGGAAGAACAUCGGUGGCGAAGGCGGCGACCUGGACAGUAACUGACGCUGAGACGCGAAAGCGUGGGUAGCAAACAGG